AGAACGAACGCUGGCGGCAUGCCUAACACAUGCAAGUCGAACGAGACCUUCGGGUCUAGUGGCGCACGGGUGCGUAACGCGUGGGAAUCUGCCCUUAGGUACGGAAUAACAGUGAGAAAUUACUGCUAAUACCGUAUGAUGUCUUCGGACCAAAGAUUUAUCGCCUAGGGAUGAGCCCGCGUUGGAUUAGCUAGUUGGUGGGGUAAAGGCCUACCAAGGCGACGAUCCAUAGCUGGUCUGAGAGGAUGAUCAGCCACACUGGGACUGAGACACGGCCCAGACUCCUACGGGAGGCAGCAGUGGGGAAUAUUGGACAAUGGGCGAAAGCCUGAUCCAGCAAUGCCGCGUGAGUGAAGAAGGCCUUAGGGUUGUAAAGCUCUUUACCCGGGAAGAUAAUGACUGUACCGGGAGAAUAAGCCCGGCUAACUCCGCGCCAGCAGCCGC
rnacentral:rRNA from 1 species